rnacentral:rRNA from 1 species
CCUACGGGGGACUGCAGUAGGGAAUCUUUCACAAUGGGCGAAAGCCUGAUGGCGCAACGCCGCGUGCAGGAUGAAGGCCUUCGGGUUGUAAACUGCUUUUAUAAGCGAGAAAUAUGAUGGUAACUUAUGAAUAAGGAUCGGCUAACUACGUGCCAGCAGCCGCGGUCAUACGUAGGAUCCGAGCAUUAUCCGGAGUGACUGGGUGUAAAGAGUUGCGUAGGUGGCAUAAUAAGUAGCUAGUGAAAUCUGGUGGCUCAACCAUUCAGACUAUUAGCUAAACUGUUAAGCUCGAGACCGUUAGGGGUAACUGGAAUUUCUAGUGUAGGAGUGAAAUCCGUAGAUAUUAGAAGGAACACCAAUAGCGUAGGCAGGUUGCUGGGACGGUUCUGACACUAAGGCACGAAAGCGUAGGGAGCAAACGGGAUUAGAUACCCGAGUAGUC